rnacentral:rRNA from 1 species
CAGUCGCCGCGGGAAUACGUAGGGUGCGAGCGUUAAUCGGAAUUACUGGGCGUAAAGCGUGCGCAGGCGGUUAUGUAAGACAGGUGUGAAAUCCCCGGGCUCAACCUGGGAAUGGCGCUUGUGACUGCAAAGCUAGAAUGUGGCAGAAGGGGAUGGAAUUCCGCGCGUAGCAGUGGAAUGCGUAGAUAUGCGGAGGAACACCGAUGGCGAAGGCAAUCCCCUGGGCCUGCACUGACGCUCAUGCACGAAAGCGUGGGGAGCAAACAGGAUUAGAUACCCCUGUAGUCCCUGUCUCUUAUAC